UCCAGAAAGGCUUUACAUGGCAUACACGUUUUCUAUAUUUAACUCUGGGUAAGACAACGUCCACGCAUUUAAUUGCAUUGCAAAGUUCAUCAUACGGAGUAUUUAUAUCCUUCAAUUCGUCGUUUAGGAUUUCGGAUACUGAGGUUGACAAGUUUUAAUUGUAAAAAUUCAGCGUGUCAGCAGAACAUUUUUUCCAGCAAAUGUUUUCAUGCAUGUAAUUUUGGCUAGCUUCAUUCUUUGAUCUUUCGAAACUUUCCGUAAUUGUUGUGCAUAGUUUGAUUCAGUGCCUUUUUAAGGAGUUUUCACUGGGGGGGGGGGGGGCAAAACAGGAAAGAAAGGCAGAACGAAAAAUAUGAGCCGUCGAGGUUUGGCGAACGUGCGAGUCUGAAGAGAGAUUUUGUAAAACUUUAAUUUAUGAACUCGAACCAUAUUUUACUAGCUUUAAACAAUAACUUCAACUCUUUGUAGCUAUAAUCGUACAGCUAUAACCAGUGACGUAGC